AUUGAACGCUGGCGGCAGGCCUAACACAUGCAAGUCGAGCGGAUGAAGGGAGCUUGCUCCUGGAUUCAGCGGCGGACGGGUGAGUAAUGCCUAGGAAUCUGCCUGGUAGUGGGGGAUAACGUCCGGAAACGGGCGCUAAUACCGCAUACGUCCUGAGGGAGAAAGUGGGGGAUCUUCGGACCUCACGCUAUCAGAUGAGCCUAGGUCGGAUUAGCUAGUUGGUGGGGUAAAGGCCUACCAAGGCGACGAUCCGUAACUGGUCUGAGAGGAUGAUCAGUCACACGGGAACUGAGACACGGUCCAGACUCCUACGGGAGGCAGCAGAGGGGAAUAUUGGACAAUGGGCGAAAGCCUGAUCCAGCCAUGCCGCGUGUGUGAAGAAGGUCUUCGGAUUGUAAAGCACUUUAAGUUGGGAGGAAGGGCAGUAAGUUGAUACGUUGCUGUAUUGACGUUACCAACAGAAUAAGCACCGGCUAACUACGUG
rnacentral:rRNA from 1 species